UGGGGAAUUUUGGACAAUGGGCGAAAGCCUGAUCCAGCAAUGCCGCGUGUGUGAAGAAGGCCUUCGGGUUGUAAAGCACUUUUGUCCGGAAAGAAAUCCUUGGCUCUAAUACAGUCGGGGGAUGACGGUACCGGAAGAAUAAGCACCGGCUAACUACGUGCCAGCAGCCGCGGUAAUACGUAGGGUGCAAGCGUUAAUCGGAAUUACUGGGCGUAAAGCGUGCGCAGGCGGUUUGCUAAGACCGAUGUGAAAUCCCCGGGCUCAACCUGGGAACUGCAUUGGUGACUGGCAGGCUAGAGUAUGGCAGAGGGGGGUAGAAUUCCACGUGUAGCAGUGAAAUGCGUAGAGAUGUGGAGGAAUACCGAUGGCGAAGGCAGCCCCCUGGGCCAAUACUGACGCUCAUGCACGAAAGCGUGGGGAGCAAACAGGAUUAGAUACCCUGGUAGUCCACGCCCUAAACGAUGUCAACUAGUUGUUGGGGAUUCAUUUUCCUUAGUAACGUAGCUAACGCGUGAAGUUGACCGCCUGGGGAGUACGGUCGCAAGAUUAAAACUCAAAGGAAUUGACGGGGUCAUAGCUGUUUCCU
rnacentral:rRNA from 1 species